rnacentral:ncRNA from 1 species
UUCUAAGGAAUAAGGGUUGGACGUUUGAUCUCCGCAAGGACCUCUUAGAAAAACACCUAGUUAA